rnacentral:misc_RNA from 1 species
GUUGGAUAUGCAGAGAGAGUUGAGUCCGAAAGUGGGAUCAUGCGGAUCAAUGACAAGCCAUAUGACGGCGCUGACAAAGCUUAAUGUAAGAAAUGACAUAACAAGUAACAGCAUCAAACGGGUAAUACAGUUAUGGAAACUCCGUGAUUGAUUAGGCCGAGCGGCUGCGGAAUUUAUUUGCAGCGUUGUUGAUGGCGGCUGUAGUCCGUAAGUACCAGGACUAGAAAUUGGAAGGCUGUUAGGAUCCAUAUAAAAG